UACGUAGGGGGCAAGCGUUGUCCGGAUUUAUUGGGCGUAAAGAGCGUGUAGGCGGUUAGGUAGGUCCGUUGUGAAAACUCGAGGCUCAACCUCGAGACGCCGAUGGAAACCAUCUGACUAGAGUCCGGAAGAGGAGAGUGGAAUUCCGUGGUGUGAGCGGUGAAAUGCGCAGAUAUCAGGAAGAACACCCGUGGCGAAGGCGGUUCUCUGGGACGGUACUGACGCUGAGACGCGAAAGCGUGGGGAGCGAACAGG
rnacentral:rRNA from 1 species